UGAAUUUCCAGCCUUGUGCCUUGUUCUGUGGUAAACUGAACUGGGACCUGAAUAAUUGCAAAUGCUGAGGUGCUAAAGAGAUGGAAAUGAAGAAAACAAAACCACAAAAAACUCAAAAUGAAGAUAGCAUCUGGCUACAUGGACAAAAUUGGUGAGACAGUUGUUUGGCCGCAGAUAGAAGAAUUGUUGAUAUUGGAGAUAAUUCUCAGUAACUGUGCAAAUUGCAAGACCCAAAGAAACCACCAACUUCCCA
rnacentral:lncRNA from 1 species